rnacentral:rRNA from 1 species
AUUGAACGCUGGCGGCAGGCCUAACACAUGCAAGUCGAACGAGUGGCGGACGGGUGAGUAAUGUCUGGGAAACUGCCUGAUGGAGGGGGCUAACUACUGGAAACGGUAGCUAAUACCGCAUACCAUCGGAUGUGCCCAGAUGGGAUUAGCUAGUAGGUGGGGUAAAGGCUCACCUAGGCGACGACCCCUAGCUGGUCUGAGAGGAGGACCAGCCACACUGGAACUGAGACACGGUCCAGACUCCUACGGGAGGAAGCAGUGGGGAAUAUUGCGCAAUGGGCGAAAGCCUGAUAGAGCAAUGCCGCGUGUAUGAAGAAGGCCUUCGGGUUGUAAAGUACUUUCAGCGGGGAGGAGUUACCCGCAGAAGAAGCACCGGCUAACUCCGGGCCAGCAGCCGCGGUAAUAC